AACGAACGCUGGCGGCGUGCUUAACACAUGCAAGUCGAACGUGAAAGGCUUCGGCCGAGUAAAGUGGCGCACGGGUGAGUAACGCGUGGGUAAUCUGCCCCCGGGCGGGGGAUAACAUUCCGAAAGGAGUGCUAAUACCGCAUGAGACCACGAGUCCUCGGAUGAGUGGGAAAAGGUGGGCCGCAAGGCCUGCCACCUGGGGAUGAGCCCGCGUACCAUUAGGUAGUUGGUGAGGUAACGGCCCACCAAGCCGAAGAUGGUUAGCUGGUCUGAGAGGACGAUCAGCCACACUGGGACUGAGACACGGCCCAGACUCCUACGGGAGGCAGCAGUGGGGAAUAUUGCGCAAUGGGGGAAACCCUGACGCAGCAACGCCGCGUGUGCGAAGAAGGCCUUCGGGUCGUAAAGCACUGUUGGGAGGAACGAGCCGCUCAUGUAACCCAUGAGCCCGACGGUACCUCCUGAGGAAGCACCGGCUAACUCCGUGCCAGCCGCCGCCGUAAGAC
rnacentral:rRNA from 1 species